ACAUGCCUACAACAUAGCAUUAAGGCACCAUAUCCCAUUAGAAAUCCAUUGUUAAGCGUGCUUAGGCUAGAGUAGUACUGGGAUGGGUGACCACUUGUGAAGUCCUAGUAUUUUACAUGCC
rnacentral:rRNA from 1 species